GGCACCCUGAUUUCCAGCCAGAGCAGAGGAAGACUGCACCGAAGGCAGGCUCACUGCAGACAACUGCAUACCUAGCAGCACGAUUAUGUAGGAAAAUAAGAAGAAGCCAUCAGAUGCCCGGAGUCAGACUGUCAUUCUCUCUCCGGGCUGCACUGAGCAAUCGUCCACUGAUGGCUGGUCGUGUCCCUGCUAGUCGGCAGCUGUCCCCGCAUCCAGAGAGGACUGGCAUUGAAUUAGAUGAGGGAGACAACUGAAGCUCAGAAAGGCUGAGUCCUGCUUACAGCUGCAUGUGAACACACUUUGAUUCUCAGUACCCUGGGGUCCUGUCCACAGUCACAAAGAGCCGGUGGUAGUAAGACACAAGGCUGAAGAUGGCUUCUGCAGCUACAGGAAGGAGACUGAUAAAGGGCCUCCAAUGCCCCCUUGAACUUGGAGUGGGUCACUCUGCGCUCACCCCCAUGGUUGGGAUCUCAGUAAAAAUGGCUUUUCCCCAGUCAUACCUGUCAUGCGUUGAAGUGGAAAACAGCUUGCGGAUUUCUUGUGCCACCCCGAAAUGGGACAACACCAGCAGGGACAUUUCCU